GGGUAGCAGCAGGCGCGAAACUUUCCCACUUCGAGACUUUCGAGGGAGGUAAUGACCAGUUCCAUUGGUGCCUUUUGGUACUGUGGAUAGGGGUACGGUUUUCCACCGUACCGAAACCUAGCAGAGGGCCAGUCUGGUGCCAGCAGCUGCGGUAAUUCCAGCUCUGCGAGUUUGCUCCCAUAUUGUUGCAGUUAAAACGCCCGUAGUCUGAAUUGGCCAGCAAUGGUCGUACGUAUUUUUACGUUCACUGUGAACAAAUCAGGACGCUUAGAGUAUGGCCACAUGAAUGACUCAGCGCAGUAUGAAGUCUUUGUUUUCUUCCGAAAACAAGCUCAAUGAGAGCCAUCGGGGGUAGAUCUAUCUCAUGACGAGUGGUGGAAUACUUUGACUCAUGAGAGAGAAGCUGAGGCGAAGGCGUCUACCUAGAGGGUUUCUGUCGAUCAAGGGCGAGAGUAGGAGUAUCCAACAGGAUUAGAGACCCUGGUAGUUCCUACCUUAAACGAUGCCGACAGGAGUUUGUCAUUUGUUAAUGGCAGAAUCUUUGGAGAAAUCAUAGUUCUUGGGCUCUGGGGGAACUACGACCGCAAGGCUGAAACUUGAAGGAAUUGACGGAAGGGCACACCAGGGGUGGAGCCUGUGGCUUAAUUUGAAUCAACACGGGGAAACUUACCAGGACCAGAUGUUUUUUAUGACUGACAGGCUUCGGGUCUUUCAGGAUAUUGUUUUUGGUGGUGCAUGGCCGUUGGUGGUGCGUGGGUUGACCUGUCUAGCGUUGAUUCAGCUAACGAGCGAGAUUAUCGCCAAUUAUUUACUUUGCCGAAGUCCUUCGGUUAAAGUUCUAAUUGGGACUCCCUGCGAUUUUAGCAGGUGGAAGAGGGUAGCAAUAACAGGUCCGUGAUGCCCUUUAGAUGCUCUGGGCUGCACGCGUGCUACAAUGUUAGGAUCAAUAGGACUGCGAGCCUGAGAGGGUGCGCUACUCUUAUAAUCCCUAACGUAGUUGGGAUUGACGUUUGUAAUCAGCGUCAGAACCAG
rnacentral:ncRNA from 2 species